GAGUGUAACCGCACGUCUUGUUUCAAAACUCAAUAUAUGGAAAAAGACCACCGGUUACACUACA
ensembl:miRNA mir-2209.3 ncRNA